GAGCCUAGUUACGGGGACCGAUCAGGGACAAAAUCGACGGGCUGGGUGCAUGCGUGCCCUGGUUUACGUCAGUUCUUGGUUAUACGUCAGUUCCGUGUUCCGUUGCCGUGGGCUCCCGCAGAACCCCGACGUGGCGGAGACCGAGAAAUGGGUUCUCUGCUGCUUGCACGGUGAGCUGUUUUGCUGACAGAUUUCCUUACAUCACCCUCCCUACAACAUGUGGCUUUCUUCUCUGAGGGAGUCCUCCAGCGUUGAAAACCUGGAGGAGAGACUGCAGAAGAUGGAGAUGCAGAUGGACAGCUUGGCCUCCAGCCUGUCCUUGAGUCCAAAGAGAGAGGAUAUCCAUCUCGCAGAAGGUCAGCGCGGCCAGGACAUCCCCACGGGCACCUGGGGUGGGGAGCCCUUAGCACAGCACUCAGCUAUCCACCCACCCUUCUGGCAGAAGACACGCUGUGAGCACUGGCCUGCCCUUCUCAACAAAAACAGGGCCAGAUGCACAGUCUGGACAGUCCUUGGAAGCAAAGUCCUCUGAAGCCAUGGCCAUCGGAGAUGUGUUCUCUGAGAGAGGCUAUGAGUGGGCACAUGCCUGCUGCAUGACACACCACUUGCUUUUCUUGUCUUAACCAGAAGCAACCACAGCACAUCCCUUUCUGAUUUUCACAUCUGCGUCAGAGGCUCAUAGUUCCGUGUAGCAUGUCACAUAGAGUGACAUGUAUUAGUUCCUGUAGGUGGCAGCCUUGGCCUGGACCUAAUAGAUUGAGGAGACAGGGCUGUGGAGUUGUGGAGGGAGACCAGGACAAAACUGUUUCCUGGAGGUUAUUCCCAGAGAUGGCCCAGACUUACCAACCUUUAAGAGUUGCCAGGGUGGCUCAGUAAGUUGAGGGUCUGACUCUUGAUUUCGGCUCAGGUCAUGAUCUCAGGGUCGUAGGACAGAGCCCCGCAUCCAGCUCUGUGCUCAGUGUGGAGUCUGCUGGAGAUUCUCCCUCUCCCUCUGCCUCUCCCCACCCUGUGCACGUGCUCCCUUUCUCUCUCUCUCUCUCUCAAAUAAAUCUUAAAAAAAAAGUUGCCUAGAACGGUGCAAAGAUCAGCACUUCCAAGGUAAGGGCUUCCAGAAGAGGUAUUCCCUGGCACAAAAGUGGGGGCUCCUUUCCCUACUCUCAGCAUCCAGCAGUGAUGAGCUGAAGCUGGAGCCUCUUCCAGGGAGUAGGGCCACUCUGCCCUCGCUUGGGAUUGUAGGCGUGUUUGGGGGGAAGGAGCUCAUCUGUCUCAAGUGCCUGACUGAGCCAUUAGGAAAGCACCUGCCAGUAUUCUGCUUUUUCUGCCGUCUGCACAGUGCCCUGCAGGCUGGUCCAAGAGGCUCAGUGUGAAAGGGGGACCUUCCCAGGUGCCCAGUGGGCUUGGACCUACAGGUACCUGGGGCAUCAGGGUGGGGCACAGUGGCCUGCAUGUAGGGAGUUCUGAUCAGGCCUGGGGAAGUCUUCCCUCUCUGGUAGAUGCUGCCUCGGACCUUGUUCACAUCCACCAGCUUCAGAAGGGGGCCAGCCGAGUCUGGGCUGCCUGCUAACCACUGGUCGGGGUGUUAGCAGACACCUGCAGUGGCACACAGGUGGGCAGGAGUCCUUUGUCCCCCGUGCCAUUGUCACGUCAGCAAACCGUGGGCUCGUGCACAGCUGGCCCCACAACGUUCAGUACACUAGGUUAGUGUGUGGUGCAGGCCUUAGGUGCUUGGGGAGCCCGGUGAUUCUUGGGAGUCUGGUCCUUCAAAAAUGGUGGCAGGCCAGCUCGAUUGAAGGCCCCCGAACACAUGCCCACCAAACCGGUGUGAGCAAACUGAGAACAGUGUCAGGGACUGGAAGACCACCUCUCUCAACCCUGCAGUCUCCUUGGGUUAGGGUCUCCGCCACCCAUUAGCAGGCUAUCGGCUAAUCAAACUGCUGCUGAGGGAGUGGUCUUGCCAGCAGAAGGCGCCACAGCCCCGUCCCUGGUCCGACGGCUGUGGCGGGGACAGCCCUGCAGCACAGCCAGGUCCCUGUCCCUGCCUCUGCAACUCUGCUCCAAACCGCGGAGUCCCACCCACAGAAACGGCCAGGGCCCUCCGAGGAGGUGCAGAUGCCAGGGUGUUCUGAGCCUCAGCACCAGGAGGGGCUCGGCUCCCCUCCUUUUCCCCAGCACCAGCCACAAAACCUUGGCCUUCCGCCUGGGAGCUUUUCCAGGGCUGGAGUUCGGACGGAGUAAAGCACUCUAAGGAGACUGCAGAACUCAGUUUACAUCUAAUUAACUGUAUUUUAAAGUCUGGGAUGUUAGUGGGGAAGAGGCAGAGUGAGCACGGAGUUGGUGCAGACAGAAGUACAUGCCUUGGUGGGGCUGAGGGACAGCAGG